rnacentral:rRNA from 1 species
UACGUAGGGCGCAAGCGUUGUCCGGAAUUAUUGGGCGUAAAGAGCUCGUAGGCGGUCUGUCGCGUCUGUUGUGAAAACUCGAGGCUCAACCUCGGGCUUGCAGUGGAUACGGGCAGACUAGAGUGCGGUAGGGGAGACUGGAAUUCCUGGUGUAGCGGUGGAAUGCGGAGAUAUCAGGAGGAACACCGGUGGCGAAGGCGGGUCUCUGGGCCGAUAUUGACGCUGAGGAGCGAAAGCGUGGGGAGCAAACAGG